rnacentral:rRNA from 1 species
UACGAAGGGGGCUAGCGUUGCUCGGAAUCACUGGGCGUAAAGCGCACGUAGGCGGCUUUUUAAGUCAGGGGUGAAAUCCUGGAGCUCAACUCCAGAACUGCCUUUGAUACUGGCGAUCUCGAGUCCGGGAGAGGUGAGUGGAACUGCGAGUGUAGAGGUGAAAUUCGUAGAUAUCGCAAGAACACCAGUGGCGAAGGCGGCUCACUGGCCCGGUACUGACGCUGAGGUGCGAAAGCGUGGGGAGCAA